GUCUACAGCCAUGCCACCGUGAACGGGCCUGAUCUCGUCUGAUCUUGGAAGUUAAGCAGGGUCGGGUCUGGUUAGUAAUUGGAUGGGAGACCAUCUAGGAAUACCAGGUGCUGUCGGUG
ensembl:rRNA 5S_rRNA 5S ribosomal RNA